GACGAACGCUGGCGGCGUGCUUAACACAUGCAAGUCGAACGGAAAGGCCCUGCUUUUGUGGGGUGCUCGAGGGGCGAACGGGUGAGUAACACGUGAGUAACCUGCCCUUGACUUUGGGAUAACUUCAGGAAACUGGGGCUAAUACCGGAUAGGAGCUCCUGCUGCAGGGGGGGGGUUGGAAAGUUUCGGCGGUUGGGGAUGGACUCGCGGCUUAUCAGCUUGUUGGUGGGGUAGUGGCUUACCAAGGCUUUGACGGGUAGCCGGCCUGGGAGGGUGACCGGCCACAUUGGGCCUGGGGUACGGCCCAGGCUCAUACGGGGGGAAGGAGUGGGAAUAUUGCACAAUGGGCGGACGCCUGAUGCAGCAACGCCGCGUGCGGGAUGACGGCCUUCGGGUUGUAAACCGCUUUCGCCUGUGACGAAGCGUGAGUGACGGUAAUGGGUAAAGAAGCACCGGCUAACUACGUG
rnacentral:rRNA from 1 species